CUAGCUCUUUAUGUAUGUGCAUAGCUGCUUUAUCUGCUCUUUAUUCUGACCCUCAACCCAGUGUUUCUCCACCAACACCUCACUGUCCUCUACUUUCACAUUUAUCAGGCACUUAUGGAGGAGUUCUGGACUGAACUGGAGCUUGGGGAAAUAGCAUCAACACUGGACGAGUGCACUCAUUCUUCUUCCUGUAUUCAUCUCUCUGUAAUAAAACUACUUCAUCUGAGAGGACGAGUCUACUGGUGUUUGUCUAAAUUUCCACGAUAAUAAACCGAGGAAGCAAGUGGCAGAUGUGCAUAUGUGUCAGUGUGUUCAUUGGGACUCUCCGGGUACCCGAACGCACGGCGGAAAACCACACAUAGCCCAGAAUUAAGAGUUAAACGUGGAAGAUAAAGGCUGAAGAAGGCAUGGCGGGGGACUGACGUAUCUCCAGUGUACAGUGUGGAUUCUCCAGUCCAGCAGAGAGCAGCUUCACUCCUGAAUCCUGCAGUUUAUUGUUACUCAGGUCCAGUUCUCUCAGUCUGGAGGAGUUUGAGCUGAGAACUGAGGACAGAACUCUACAGCUUUCCUCUGUCAGAUUACACCUC